AACAAUGGAUUUUACUAAUUAGUGGACUAUGAGUGUGUGUUUGGCCAUCCAGAUUUCAUAACUACAACUGAUGUUCAAUUACAAGGGAUAUUAAUCAGUCUCCGUGGACUAUACACUGUGCCUAGUUUCAUCCUCAGAGACUGAUGUGUAAGCUUAAAGUAAAGACAUCAAAUCAAAGUAUCAGCCAUCAAGAGGAAAAACAUUCAAAAUCUUAUUGUGAUACACAAGUCAAGCAAGUCUGACCAGCAUUUUGAUACAGGCCAAGAAAAAGCUGGAUACUUGAUUGGAAGGGUCGCACAAAAAACAUGGGUUAUCACUAGGGAAACAAGCUCGCAAUACAGUUCACUGUUAGGACAGCAAGCCAAAUACUUCUAAACUUAUUUGAAUCAUUUUUGCUGUUUAUUAUAAUUCAUCCAAUUGUCUUAUUAAAUAUAUAAUUUUAUAUAUAUACACAAUUCCUAAUAUAGAAUUUCUAAAAAUGUUUUAUUAUAAUAUUUAAAAAUGAAACAAACAUGUUCCCAGAACACAGCCACAUAAUGUCAACAUGUUCCCAGAACACAGCCACAUAAUGUCAACAUGUUCCCAGAACACAGCCACAUAAUGUCAACAUGUUCCCAGAACACAGCCACAUAAUGUCAACAUGUUCCCA